rnacentral:rRNA from 1 species
AUGACUCGAUGCACUGACUACCCACGGACUGCGCCACUAAAGCGGUUUACUUCAAAGGAGGAGAAGAAUGGGAACUUUGGGCGCGAGUUCAUCAAAUGCGAGAGCAAGCCGGAGGGGCAGAUCGUGAAGAAAUGCCACCAUUUCGAGUGGAUGGAUGAUUACAUCCAGAGGCUUCAAGGGUUGGGCUUGCUGGAUUCAAGGGGGGAUGCAAUCUGCGAGUUUAAUCUGCCCCAUGACAGUGCUGCUCCGGUAGCAGUAGCGCGUCCGGAAUACCCGUCGGUGGUAGAUGUCAAACUGAAGACGGAAUUGAAGAAGAUGAACAAGAACUUCAAGUAG